rnacentral:sRNA from 1 species
GCCAGGUGUGGUGGGGCACACCUGUAACCUCAGUAUUUGGGAGGCUGAGGCAGGAGGAUUGCAAGUUUGAGGCCAGCCUCAGCAAUGUUGCUAGGCUCUAAGCAACUUAACUAGACCCUGUCUCAA